rfam:Microdochium bolleyi strain J235TASD1 unplaced genomic scaffold Micbo1qcscaffold_34, whole genome shotgun sequence.
GGUUGUAUAGUGUAGUUGGUUAUCACUUCGGAUUCUGACUCCUUGACGAGAAGUUUCCGGCGACCUGGGUUCGAAUCCCAGUACGACCU